rnacentral:rRNA from 1 species
CCUUGCCAGCCCGCUCAGAAACUCAAAGGAAUUGACGGGGCCCGCACAAGCGGUGGAGUAUGUGGUUUAAUUCGAUGCAACGCGAAGAACCUUACCUGGUCUUGACAUCCCGGAGACCCUUAGGAAACUAGGGGGUGCUUCCAUCUGGAAGAAUCUGGAGACAGGUGCUGCAUGGCUGUCGUCAGCUCGUGUCGUGAGAUGUUGGGUUAAGUCCCGCAACGAGCGCAACCCUUGCCUUUAGUUGCCAGCAGUUCGGCUGGGCACUCUAAAGGGACUGCCGGUGUUAAACCGGAGGAAGGUGGGGAUGACGUCAAGUCCUCAUGGCCUUUAUGACCAGGGCUACACACGUACUACAAUGGCCGAUACAAAGGGCAGCGACACUGCGAGGUGAAGCCAAUCCCGUAAAAUCGGUCUCAGUCCGGAUUGGAGUCUGCAACUCGACUCCAUGAAGUUGGAAUCGCUAGUAAUCGUGGAUCAGCAUGCCACGGUGAAUACGUUCCCGGGCCUU